rnacentral:tRNA from 1 species
ACUUAAAUAAUUUAAUUAAAAAUAUUGAUUUGUGGAGUCAAAAACCUGAAAUAAUUUCAUUUUAAGUU